AUCAAGCUCGCCGGGCGUGGUGGCG
rnacentral:misc_RNA from 1 species